GCCGUGGUAGCUCAGCUGGUAGAGAGUCGGACUCGUAAUCCAAGAGUCGAUGGUUCGAUAUCUACCCGACCAUGAUA